rnacentral:rRNA from 1 species
ACAUGCAAGUCGAGGGGCAGCAUGGUCUUAGCUUGCUAAGGCUGAUGGCGACCGGCGCACGGGUGAGUAACACGUAUGCAAUCCACCUGUAACAGGGGGAUAACCCGGCGAAAGUCGGACUAAUACCGCAUGAAGCAGUGUGAAAAACUCCGGUGGUACAAGAUGGACCCGCGUCUGAUUAGCUGGUUGGUGAGGUAACGGCCCACCAAACCGACGAUGGAUAGGGGUUCUGAGAGGAAGGUCCCCACAUUGGAACUGAGACACGGUCCAAACUCC